UACGUAGGUGGCAAGCGUUAUCCGGAAUUACUGGGCGUAAAGCGCACGCAGGCGGUCUUUUAAGUUUGACGUGAAAGCUCCCGGCUUAACUGGGAGAGGUCGUUGAAUACUGGGAGACUUGAGGCAAUGAGAGGGGUGUAGAAUUCCUGGUGUAGUGGUGGAAUGCGUAGAUAUCAGGAGGAAUACCAGUGGCGAAAGCGGCACCCUAGCGUUGUUCUGACGCUCAUGUGCGAAAGCGUGGGGAGCGAACGGG
rnacentral:rRNA from 1 species